rnacentral:lncRNA from 1 species
UUUAUGAACUGGAGUAUCCUGUGCAGUCUCCACUCAACCCACUAUGAGAAAAACAUCAAACUCCAAUUCUUCAGUGUUCCUGCCGGUCCUCCUCAGAACAGCCAAGGUCAAGGUCAUUCAACACAGGAAAGUCUGAGAAUCCAUCACCACCAAGAGGAGUCUAAGGAGAACUGAGGAUUGAGGGCCAUGGGGUGUCCCGGCUGGGGUCCGGGGUAGAGACGGAUUUUAGGUAAAGACUAGAGAACCCCGAAUAAAGCGUGGGCUUCAGUGAAGCACUCCUGUGAGUCAGUACUGCUCUGUGAACUGGGGCGGAUGCACAGAGGAACACGAUCUAAUAAUGGGAAAAGAGGAGAUGGGGUGUGGGCUAUGUAGGAACUCUGUGCUAUCUUUACAAUUUUUCUACAAGUUCAUUAUUUUAAAAUUAAAAAUUUAGGAAGAAAAACAACAACAAAAACAUUCCCAGGGGAUUCCAUUGUCCAGUGGGCAUUAGAAUGUUGUUGUUGUUGUAAUUUGUUUAUUGUCACGUUAGCCAUUAUUUAUUAUUAUGUCACAUAUGUGAGACCACAAGGGCUGCUCCCCGCAUACCGGUGGCCCCCCCAGUUAGCUGCCUUGGGGAGGGGAGGAAGACCACCAGAGCCCAGGGUGGGGGCGAGGCGGCUCCCGGAGGCUCCCCUGCCCCUCCCAGUCCUCACCUCCUCCUCCCUGAGUGGCCUGGUGGGAUGGAAGGUGUCUGUGGCCGGCUGCCCAGAACACCAAGAAGGGCCCUCUUCCUCCUUGAACUUGAGCCAGCCCCUGGCGUCUUUCUCGGGGCCAGAGCUUUGCCUCUAAAUGGUCUUUGUUUGCAGACGAUCUGCUGUGCAGAUCAUGAACCGUCGCCGCAGUGCCAGACAGACUCUUCAUCCGGACCGGCCGUCCCACUGGGUCCCCUCAGGAAAGCGCAGAAGCCGGGGACCCCAAACCGCGUCCAGCUCCUCCCACCCGCCCUUCUCGGAGCCGCGCACUUGGUAACUUGCGUGUGAAGAACUCACGGCCGUGUUGCCAGGAAACUGCGGGGAGCAGCCUUUGUGGUCUCACAUAUGCGUAACAUAAUAAUAAAUAACGGUUAACGUGAUAAUAAAUAAACAAAUAACAAUAAUUAUAACGUGCCCCAAGCCUGUUGUUUCUCCAAAAUUAAUUUAUGAUGAAUUACGACUCGAAUUCCUCGGAACAUACCAGUGGGAAGAGGAGAGGGGGCUAUUUUAUUUGCCACUGGGCUCAGAGUAGGGUUAAGAACUGUCUUUCCCUGAGCCAGACCUUGUCCCAGGUCCCUGGUAACCCAGGGAAGGUCGCCAGAGAGGAAUUCUCUCUUUCCCUCUGCUUCUCACAUCUCCUCCUCUGCCUAGGACAGUGAAGUUUUUUAGAUACUUUACUUGCAUUUCUAAUUCAGUUAUUCUUCUGAAAUUUAUUCAAAGGAUUUAUGCUUAUGAAAUUAUAAUAUAAUGCUGCCUAUAUGCCAAUGAGCUGGAGGCAAAGAAAAUAAUUUUCUUCAAUUUACAGUUAUGAGGCUGGAGGAAAAUGAUGCCUUCUUAUCACCUCUUUCUCUUUGUAUGUCUCGGUAUUUUUUUAAGUCUUCAGAAGGCAGGAGCUGAUGAUGAAUUCUUAAGCAGAUCACACUGAUAAUUGUAUUUCAGAGCUGUCAGCGCUGGGAAGACUGGCCAGCGACUGUCUCCAUGCACUUGAGCUAUUUGUGUCGCUGCCUUCCUUCUCAGGAACUCAGCCCUCAAUAAAGCCAACUCGCUGGGGAUAUUGUUAAAUCGUCUGAGAGGAUUAUUAGAUCGAAGGGAAAUUUAUGGAUGACACUUUGUAACAAUUAAUCAGGAACUGUUGAUGAAGUUUAAGUUGGUUCUUUAUUCCUGGACCAAAAAAAUAUAUAUAUACGUAUAUAGAUGUGUGUGUAUAUAUAUAUAUACACACACACAUAUAUAAAAUCAUAAUAAUAUUCAGCCCUUGUUCCAAUUGUCAAAUGGCUCAUUUUGUCACUCUGUUUGAUUAAUGAACCUUUUGGAGUCCCCCAAAAGUCCUAGUAAUACAAAUAAAGAGAAUCAUAAAUAUUGAAUAAGCUCACAGCACAGUUAACCUUGACUACAUUUUGGGACAUACUUGGAGAAACUUUGCUAUACGGAAAAUAAAUUGCUGUGGGGAUUAAAAAAAUAUGCACACCCAUACCAAAUUGGAGAUUUUGGAGAAUGUCACCUCUCUGACCUUGUCACUCUUAAUAAUCUGUUGUGAUUAAUUAGUUUAGUUAGCUUUACAAUCAGGUCAGCAGAGCGCCGGCAUGCUGGCGUGUUUUACCGAUGGGUCCCUGCCCAGCCCAGAAAGGGAUGCGGGCUGGGGUGAGGGAGGGUCUGGAGCUAAUGGGGCUGGUGUUCUAACCUCACAAGGUACUAAACGAGGGUGAUGGGUGAGGACGAUUUCAGGUCGUAAUUUACGGAGCAGGGCCCUGGGUGGGGGCAGGGAGCCUUCAUUGUGUGUUGGUUCUUGUGUUGAGUGCACUCACCCUUCUCAGGCAAAGAUCCCCCCUCACCAGCUUGGAGCUUUUGCUGACACCCCUUCAAAGUUCUGAUUCCAGAUCUGACCAGUUAUUUGACCCAGAAAACAGAUUCUAACUAGGCUGUAAUGACUUGCAAUUUUUGAAUGUAGCAUCUAGUCCAGGGGUUAAGAUUCCAGGGUAAGAGAGAAGUGGAUUUGAGUUCUCCUCUGCCGUAUCAGAGCCGUGUGGCCCUGGGCGGUUGGCUUUGACUUUCCGAGUCUCGGUUUCCUUAUCUGUAAAAUGGAGUUUCUACAUCCUAGGAUUUUUACAAGGAUGAAGUGAAACAAUUCAAAGAAACAGCUUGGCCAAAUGUCCAGCAUGCAAUACUCUGCAGUGGGUAGGACUGUGUCGUCCUGCAAUAGAAGUUGAAGUCCUAACCCCUGAGACCUGUGAAGGUGACCACUAGGGUACGCCUUAAGCCAAUGACUGGUGUCCUUAUAUAAGAAUCUGGACACAGUCACGGGGAAGACAGCCACACAAAGCCAGAGGCAGAGAUCGGAAGAUGCAGCUGCAGGCCAAGGACGGCCAGAAUUCACGGAGCCGAAGCGCCGGAGAAGCCAGGAAGGAUCUUCCCACAGAGCCUUCGGAGGGGCGGGGCCCUGCCGACACCUGGGUUUUGGAUUUCUAGUCUCUAGGACUGUGAGAAUACAUUUCCGCCGCUUCCAGCCAUGUUUUCCGUCAUUUGUGAAGGCAGCCUUUGGAAACUGAUACGUGCUGUAGGGUCACUGUGAUCUGGUUUGCAGGGAACAAGUAAGGUGGGGCUGAGGACUUGGCCUGAUGUGCCUGGCACUCGGUUUCUUGCUCCCCCUGAAUAGUCCUGAUCAUGCCAGCUGCCGCCCCACGCAGGCUGAGCGCCGCGAAGGCCGGGAUGCCGCUUCUCGCGUAUGGGUGAGGAGCCGUGGUUCGUUCAGUUCAGCAGAGCGCCAUCGCCGCCCCUGAAGUCCAGCUCUUAGGAUCAGCGCUCAGAACCCCAGACUCUGUGACGUCGUUGUAGAUGCAAAGUUGUCUCUGGUACAGGCCAAAGUGAUUCAUUUCAUGGUAUUGAUUUAUGUUGCCUUUUCUAAAAGUACAGUUAUUUCUAAAUAAAGACAACAUUUAAAAGUUAAGAAGUAAAUUACAAUAACGUUACUUAAAUUAUCAGCUUAAAAAUAAGGAACCUCACAUUACAUAGCAAAUAUAUCCUCGGAAAGUUGCAAGCGAGUGCAUUUUUUGUACGUAAUGUCUUAUUUUCCUGUUGACUUAUAAUGAGAAAUUCAAAAAAUCUAUUUCCUCCCAAAGAACAAUAUUGGCCCCAUUACACUAAAAAUUACACUGGAUCCUGCCAUUUCCUUUGUCAUUGUGGAACCAACAUGUUCCAGCCGUGACGUAAUCCUUCCAAUUCCUGGCUCCCGCUCUCCUCCAAGACUUUCCCGCAGGUCAUUGCAGAUCGCCACCUUCUGCCAAAGGUUUUCACCGACUCUCUGGUCCGACGAGGAACGCUGCUGAGCCUGACUCUAGCAGGAGGAAUAUGAGCCACAAUUGUAUGAAAAUCUUUCCUGGACACCUUCGGAUAAGAUGAAAUAAACUUGGAGAAUGGCAUCUGUGUUGGAAGAAAGUUCUGGACUCCACAGUGGCUUGCUCCAGAAAAGCCAAACCAUCAGCUCUCUUGACAGCACAGAGAAUGCCAGUGUGUGGGAAACAGACCGCGGUCACCCUGAGCGGCAAGGGGCUUUCCAGUGCUUAGGCUCUGAAUGUGAAACAUUUUAGAAAGAGAUGAAACAAUUUUUUUCGCUUGUAUUUUCCUAUGUGUUUGAAGGUCGAUAGAUGAUAAAAAUGUGUCUGAAUAAGUCUGAUUUAGUCUCAAAGAUCUCUUUCAAUAAACCUAAACAUUUCAAACAGAUAAGACAGGAUUGUGUGAUAGUUUAAUUGGUGGUUG